GGCCUUAUGGUCUAGUAGUAUGAUUCCUCGUUUGGGUCUAUCUACACCUAGUGGGUGGGUAAUUGAUCGAGGAGGUCCUGGGUUCAACUCCCAGUGAGGCCC